rnacentral:SRP_RNA from 14 species
GGUGAGCAGGAUGUUCAGGUUGGGGUUCGCAGCGCUCACGACCGCGUGCACCGCGGCAGGCCCGGUGUCGCCCGUCGUGCUGACAACCAGGGUGCGACGGGUGCCCGAUUCAGGUGGAGUGAAAUGGCUGAGGAAAGCAAC